GGAGGCAUGGCUUAAGUGGUAGAGCGCCUGCCUGGUGAGCAUGAGGCCCUGAGUUCAAAUCCCAGUGCCGCCA